ACGCUCGACACCUACGGGAGGAGCAGUGAGGAAUAUUGGUCAAUGGGCGCUAGCCUGAACCAGCCAAGUAGCGUGAAGGAUGAAGGCUCUAUGGGUCGUAAACUUCUUUUAUAUAAGAAUAAAGUGCAGUAUGUAUACUGUUUUGUAUGUAUUAUAUGAAUAAGGAUCGGCUAACUCCGUGCCAACAGCCGCGGUAAUCUGAGCGGGCUGGCAAGGC
rnacentral:rRNA from 1 species